rnacentral:lncRNA from 1 species
UAAAUUAUAGAUGAUGGCAGCCAAAAAAAUCUUUUGAGCCCUUUAUGUGAAGCAUUAUACUAAACACUCUGUGCUUGAACUCAUUUUAUCAUUUCACAAUGUAUAGAGUAUUAUUAUCCACAUUUACAGGAGAAACAGAGAUUACAUUUCUAGGAAGUGACUGAAGCCAGGUCUGUUGACUUCAGAGGCCUAGGGCUUGGCCACGCUCUACUGCCUUCCAGUGAUCUUAUUUCUGCUACUUCCUAGUAUCCCAGAUACACCCAGUUUCUGCCAGACUCCCUAAGGAAGAUAGAAUUGUAAUUCUGGGCAUCAUCCUCAGCACAUUACAGAUAAAUUCAGUUUUGAGCAUUUCUUAGAUUAUUUUUUGCAUCCUUCUUAUGAAUUCAUUUGGGAUAGUUUAGAAAGAGCAUGUUUUGGAGAAGACUUUUAAUCAUUUACUGAUUUUGAAGAUGUACUUCUGGAGAGAGCUCUUACAAUUACAGGAGCUGAUCUGAUUUUGCCAAGUAGUAGCACUUUGCUUUCUGUCCCUUGCAUAAGCCUUUAUGUCCCUGGAAUUGUGAGAGUUUAAAAAAAAACCAAAAACCUGUCAACACAAGGUUUUGUACUUUAAUAAGGGAAAAAGGAAAACAUUCUCUUAAGAGGUCCAAAGUUCCUCUUUUUGCCCAGAAAGGUGUUGACUUGCAACAAAAUAGACUCUUUUUGUUUUUGUCUUUUUAGGUCUCUUUAGGGCCACACAUGAGGCACAUGGAAGUUCUCAGGCUAGGGGUUGAAUCAGAGCUACAGCUGUCAGCCUACACCACACAGCUCACGGCAAUGCCAGAUCCUUAACCCACUGAGCGAGGCCAGGGAUCGAACUCACAUCAUCAUGGAUACUAGUCAGUUUCCUUAACCACUGAGCCACGAAGGGAACAACCUUUAACUUAAAAUUUGAAUGUCAUUAGGGGAACCAUGUACUUUUUGACUCAGUUCAGUCUUCCCACUUCUCCUGACACUCCAAUCAUUGGCCAGUUCACCUAUUCUUGUUAGAAAACCUAAGUACGUUGGUAUCUGUGGCAUUAUCCUUUCAGUUUAUUUUUCUUGGGUAAGAGCAAAUACUGAGUUGAAAACUUGGGAUCCUGGCCAUCAGUUUCAUUUUAAGAGCCUUGAUCAACAUCAAUAGCAACAAUAAAACCCCAAAACAAAAAAAAUCCUCAAAAAAUCCUAUGUGAUUUUGUGCUGUGAUUUACAACCAGAUUUACUAAGUGGUUAAUUACAACCCAAAUUAAUUUUGUAUUUUUCAAAGGGCUUUUGAUAUAUUCCAUUUAAUAGUAAUAAUAAAGUGAAAAUAUAGGGGAUGGUCUAAACAGUCUGUAAAUAAAGGACUAUACAAAUGUUAUAAUAAAUAAUUAAGCAGGUCUUGAUUAUUAAGUUCUACUGGUGUCUGUGGGUGAGAAUGUAUUAUAUACUUCAAGGUUAAAAAAAAACCUGAGUAAAUGGUA